GGCGGCAACAGAGAGGCGUUUCGUGGAGCCACCAACUGCGGAUCUUUUUCUCGCCUCUUUUUCGUUUGCUUGUUGCAAGCACUUAUUCACUUUCACACACAUUUGCGUACGUACACAGUGCGGAUCGACACGUGAUUGUUCGAGCUGUGGCAAGCGACGGUGGGCGCUGCCCUUUUUCUUUGCCGUUGUUUCGCCAUUCACUUCCGCCUUUCCCGCAUUUCUCAUCCGCGCUCCUCCCUCGUUCAUACUCUGCGAGCUUUACGUCCCCGUGUGCGUGCGUCUCUCCGUUGUUUCCUUCUCUCACAUAUUAACUCAGGACAUCGCUUGUCUUUCCUCUUUUUAAGUUUUUAUACCUGUAUCUCGCAAGCUAUCAAUUGUAUUGCUGUCUCGUCCUUUGUGCGUCUAUUUCCACCGCAUAAGGGUGUGCAUCUUUUUCUCGCUUUCUGUUUUGUUGCUGUGGUCUUUGCAAGCGAAAUCUACUGAGAGUUGGCGUACAAGGCGUGUGUGAAGUGACUCCCCCUCCCUCAUCCACCAACUGCCGAGCUGACGACGCGCGAGGCAGCGGAAGGCAGGGUUGCCUCAUUCCGUGUUCUGCCUUUCGGGGACAAAAGGGGGAAGGGGAGGGUGCAAUGGAUUCCGCCCUGCAUGCCUUCCGGAUGCAUGGCGCCUCCUUCUAUCACUGGACGAGCUACGUAGUCUAUGUCAUAUACUCAUGUCUCUUCUUCGCCUGCGAAGUGAUCGCGGGUGUGCUUGAAAUACCAACCGAUGCUCCGCAAUACGACGCGCUCACGCAUCAGGCCAACUGCGCCACCACUUACGAGGAGUGGCUGCCCAUCGCCUCCACGCUGGACGACAUGGACGGCUUUCAGAAGUGGCGCACCGACGAGGCGUCGACCUACUUCUCUUUCGAGGGUGUGAUGCGAACGAUAGAAGAGCUGCUGGAGCUGCGCAGCGUCGGCAGCGCGGAGGCACUGCUGGACAAUCUCCAGAAGCAUGUGCACCGCUCCCUCUACGGCAUCAGUCACCGUCGGUUGUACCUGUACAAAACCGGCACCAAAACGGUCAUUCACUCGUAUAACUCCCUCGUUUGUUUUCUCCUGGGCCGUGUAGGUGAGGCGGCGCGGGCUGACCGACGAAUGGCCGUCCGCACACGAGAGGUGCUCUCGGAGAUGUCUCGCGUUUACGGAUCCACUGCACUGCUGUUGCAGGGUGGCGUGCUUGCGUCGUCGGCCCACUUCGGUGUGGCAAAAGCGCUGUAUGAUGCCGGACUUCUACCCCCUGUUGUGUACGGCAGCGGCAGCGGCGCGCUGGUGGCGACGCUUGUGUGCUGCUCCACCGACUUGGCCUCGCUGUUUCACAGCAGCAGCGGCAGCAACAGCAUCGCGGAGGCGAAUGCACUCCUCGGCACGCCCACCGCUGAUUCGCGGUGGAAGCGCUUCCACCGGCUGCUGCACACUGGCGAAGUGUGCGACCCCGUUGCCCUGGCCGACUUCUUACAGAGAAGCAUCGGCGACGUGACCUUUGCCGAGGCGUUUGCCCGAACUGGGCGUGUGCUGAAUAUCCCGUUUGUGUCCGCGUCGCCCGUGAUGCCGCGCAGAAACGCUGACGUGGACGUUCAGCUGUUGAACUAUCUUACGUCUCCCGACGUACUUGUGCGCUCUGCGGUGCUCUGCGCCAUAUGCCCGGCCGUUGCGGUGCAUCCCGCCUCGUCGUCCUCCUACGGGCCAGCGGGAGGUGCAGCACCACCGACGCGCACGCUACUCGCACGAACACGGCUGACGAGCGCCAUUGUCGCCUACGAGCCUCCCGUGGUGCAUCAAAGCUACGCCUGCUCCUGGGGCGAUCACGUCGGCUACGGGGUGCUGGACCCGGUGCAGCGAAUGAGGGGUCUCUUCUGCAUACGGUUUUGCGUCGUGUCGGAUGCGUCGGUGCGUGGGUAUCUGUGGCAGCUGUUGCACCAGAGCGCCUACAGGGACGGACUUCGGCACCGUACGCGUAUGUGGGACUGGGCACGCUACACGUUUGCCCUGUGCGUGCUCGGGCUGGCGCAUGUAUUUCUGCGUCUGCUGGCGUGGAUGGGCUACGACGCCAUUGCCGCACCGUCGCCAACUUCCAUGUGGACUUUCUUCGAAGAUGAUGUCGGCGAGAACAUGCGCAUGCACCCAAUCUCGAGCGUGUGGUCGUAUCUGCGGCUGUGUUACAGUCCGACAACGGCGAACAUGCAGGUACUGGUCCUGGAAGGGGAGCGACAAGUAUGGCCGAGGCUGGAGCAACUGCGCAUGUCCAUCUCAGUCGAACAAGUCCUGGCAGCCAUGUUGAAGCGGCUUCCCACUUACAGGUGAAAUCUCUGCCUGUGCUUGCGUGCUGAGGAGGAGGAGGGCCCCAACGUAUGCGUGCGCGGUGCUUUCUCGAUGCCUGUUGAUCCAUCACGACUUCCCUCCACCUGCCUUUCGGGUUACCCGCUUCGCCCUUGUACUCAUCACCAACCGAGGGCCGGGCGCUGCUUCCUUUUCUCCUUCACACCGUUGGUGCUUCUCGCCCCCGUUUGCCUGCUUUUUUUUUCUUCCCUCGUUAACGUAUAGCUCGAGCUUCUUUCGCUUUCUCCGGUCUCACGUACGGCCCCUCUGCUUCCGCAGUAUUCCCCUCGACUAUACGUGUGUGUGUGUGUGCUGCACGAAUGGCAGCGUUGCCUUUCGUUUGCUGCUCCGAUGGUGCUGUGCGAAGGCGCACACGUACGCAGGCGAAACAGAUUUGUGCACUUGCACGAAUGCUGUGCCGUGCGUCCUACGGUGUGUGUGCGUAUGCCUCGCUCGCUCUUUGGCUCUUUUCAUGCACGGGAAAACG
rnacentral:misc_RNA from 1 species